UUCAAACCACAUGUGCAAAUAGAACAGGUAUAUAAGACUUAAGUCUUUGGAUCAAAAAUAUGAGACAAUUCAAUAUGUACCGUAUCAUAGUAGUGAGCAUUGUGGCAGCAGCAGUCUUAAGUGCUGUGAGAGCACUUAACUGUGGACCAGGCUACUGUGAUCUGUCCAGUCACAUCUGUACCUCUGGUCACUGCAUACCAAUCGGAAAAUGACCAAGACUGUGGACACUUGGAUUGGGUGAAAAAGACAUUUGAAAAAUAAAGAUCUUAUGCUUA